rnacentral:rRNA from 1 species
UUCGGUGACCAUACCGGCAGGGUCACACCCGUUCCCAUCCCGAACACGGAAGUUAAGCCUGUCUGCGCCAAUGGUACUUGGGGGUAGACCCCCUGGGAGAGUAGGUCGCCGCCGGAU